CAACAAGACUGUGGAUAGGAAAUGAGUGAGCUGCCAACUAUUGAGCUGCUGAGCCGGAGACCACAAGACUCCACUUCUGUCCCCAUCAUCGCAGAGCCCUGCCAUCUGGAGCAGACCUCUGAGGAGAACUCAGCCCGCAGUGACCAUGUUCAGCAGGGCCUCGAGACAGAAGUGCAUCCUUAGCCAGGCCAGCUCAGCGCUGGGGAGAAGCAAGCCCAGAGAAGAUGCUGCAGACAAGGAGGAACAGGGGCUCCCACAGCACCCAUUCCACCAACUGAGAAAGAGACCACAGGCACAGAAGAGGGCACCACAGCAGGACAGUCCAAUCAGGGCUCUAGGACCACUUGACCAGGCUCUCCAGGCAGUGCCAGUGGCUCCACUGUGUCUGGAUCAUCUGUGGCAGGGCAACACACCAAGGCUCCAUCAUCCCAGGGCUCUGGCACCACUGGACCAGCACCUAAUGACUCUGGAAAAACAGGGCCACCUGCAGAAAGCUCUGGGACCUCAGGCAAGCCUCAGUAAGGAUGUCAGUCCACAAGCUCAUCUGUCCAUCGACCUGGCACCUCUCA